CCUACGGGUGACAGCAGUGGGGAAUAUUGCACAAUGGGGGAAACCCUGAUGCAGCGACGCCGCGUGAGUGAAGAAGUAUCUCGGUACGUAAAGCUCUAUCAGCAGGGAAGAAAAUGACGGUACCUGACUAAGAAGCCACGGCUAACUACGUGCCAGCCGCCGCGGUAAUACGUAGGGGGCAAGCGUUAUCCGGAUUUACUGGGUGUAAAGGGAGCGUAGACGGCAGCACAAGUCUGGAGUGAAAUCCCGGGGCUUAACCCCGGAACUGCAUUGGAAACUGUGCGGCUGGAGUGCAGGAGGGGUAAGCGGAAUUCCUAGUGUAGCGGUGAAAUGCGUAGAUAUUAGGAGGAACAUCGGUGGCGAAGGCGGUUUACUGGACUGUAACUGACGUUGAGGCUCGAAAGCGUGGGGAGCAAACAGGAUUAGAUACCCCUGUAGUC
rnacentral:rRNA from 1 species